rnacentral:rRNA from 1 species
GACGAACGCUGGCGGCGUGCUUAACACAUGCAAGUCGAACGGACCUUCUGAUCUUUUGGUUGGUUGGUUAGUGGCGAACGGGUGAGUAACACGUGAGUAACCUGCCCUUCUCUUCGGGAUAACUGUCGGAAACGGUGGCUAAUACCGGAUAUUCAUAUGCUGUCGCAUGGUGGUGUGUGGAAAGAUUUUUUGGUGGGGGAUGGACUCGCGGCCUAUCAGCUUGUUGGUGAGGUAGUGGCUUACCAAGGCUUUGACGGGUAGCCGGCCUGAGAGGGCGACCGGCCACACUGGGACUGAGAUACGGCCCAGACUCCUACGGGAGGCAGCAGUGGGGAAUAUUGCACAAUGGGCGGAAGCCUGAUGCAGCGACGCCGUGUGCGGGAUGACGGCCUUCGGGUUGUAAACCGCUUUCAACUGUGACGAAUUUGACGGUAGCAGUAGAAGAAGCACCGGCUAACUACGUGCCAGCAGCCGCGGUGAUACGUAGGGUGCGAGCGUUGUCCGGAUUUAUUGGGCGUAAAGGGCUCGUAGGCGGCCUAUUGCGUCGGGAGUGAAAACCUGCGGCUUAACCGUGGGCUUGCUUUCGAUACGGGUAGACUUGAGGGAGGUAGGGGAGAACGGAAUUCCUGGUGGAGCGGUGGAAUGCGCAGAUAUCAGGAGGAACACCAGUGGCGAAGGCGGUUCUCUGGACCUUUCCUGACGCUGAGGAGCGAAAGCGUGGGGAGCAAACAGGCUUAGAUACCCUGGUAGUCCACGCUGUAAACGGUGGGCACUAGGUGUGGGAUCCUUUCCAUGGGUUCUGUGCCGUAGCUAACGCAUUAAGUGCCCCGCCUGGGGAGUACGGCCGCAAGGCUA